AGUGAACGCUGGCGGUAGGCCUAACACAUGCAAGUCGAACGGCAGCACAUGAAGAUCUUGCCCUUACGGGUGGCGAGUGGCGGACGGGUGAGGAAUGCAUCGGAAUCUACUUUUUCGGGGGGGAUAACGUCAGAAAACUUACGCUACAACCGCAAACGACCUACGGGGGAAAGCAGGGGUUCUUCGGACCUUGCGCGAUUGAAUGAGCCGACGUGGGAUUAGCUAGUUGGCGGGGUAGAGGCCCACCAAGGCGACGAUCCGUAGCUGGUCUGAGCGGAUGAUCAGCCAGACUGGAACUGAGAAACGGUCCAGACUCCUACGGGGGGAAGCAGUGGGGAAUAUUGGACAAUGGGGGCAAGCCUGAUCCAGGAAUACCGCGUGGGUGAAGAAGGCCUUCGGGUGGUAAAGUCCUUUUGUUGGGAAGGAAGAGCAGCAGGUUAGUACGCCGCUGUUCUGACGGUACCCAAAGAAGAAGCACCGGCUAACUUCGUG
rnacentral:rRNA from 1 species